GGUUUGAUUCUGGCUCAGAUUGAACGCUGGCGGGAUGUCGCGCUACAUGCAAGUCGACGGCAGCACGGACUUCGGUCUGGUGGCGAGUAGCGGUGGGUGGAGUAAUGUAUCGGAACGUGUCUGCCUAAGUAGCGGGGAUAACUACGCGAAAGCGUAGCUAAUACCGCCGCCCUUCAAAAGGGGAAAGCAGAGGACCUUCGGGCCUCGCACUAUUGGAAGCGGCCGAUAUCGGAUUGAAAGCUAGUUGGUGGGGUAACGGCUCUACCAAGGCGACGAUCAUAACUGGUUUGAGAGGACGACCAGCCACACUGGGACUGAGACACGGCCCGAACUCCUACCGGGAGAGGCAGCAGUGGGGUACGGACGUCAGGAAACCUGAUCCAGCCAUCCCGCGUGUGCGAUGAAGGCCUUCGGGUUGUAAAGCACUUUUGGCAGGAAAACGGCUGGGAUGUCACCCCGUUACCUUCGGCAAUACCUGCAGAAUAAGCACAAAUAACGUAUAUCCGCGGUAAUACGUAGGGUGCAAGCGUUAAUCGGAAUUACUGGGCGUAAAGCGUGCGCAGGCGGUUCGGAAAGAAAGAUGUGAAAUCCAGAGCUUAACUUUGGAACUGCAUUUUAACUACCGAGCUAGAGUGUGUCAGAGGGAGGUGGAAUUCCGCGUGUAGCAGUGAAAUGCGUAGAUAUGCGGAGGAACACCGAUGGCGAAGGCGGCCUCACCGGACAACACUGACGCCAUUGCACGAGAAAGCGUGGGGAGCAAACAGGAUUAGAUACCCUGGUAGUCCACGCCCUAAACGAUGUCAACUAGCUGUUAGGGCCUUCGGGCCUUGGUAGCGCAACUAACGCGUGAAGUUGACCGCCUGGGGAGUAUGGUCGCAAGAUUAAAACUCAAGGAAUUGACGGGGACCCGCACAAGCGGUGGAUGAUGUGGAUUAAUUCGAUGCAACGCGAAAAACCUUACCUACCCUUGACAUGUCUGGAAUCCCGAAGAGAUUUGGGAGUGCUCGCAAGAGAACCGGAACACAGGUGCUGCAUAGCUGUCGUCAGCUCGUGUCGUGAGAUGUUGGGUUAAGUCCCGCAACGAGCGCAACCCUUGUCGUGGAUUGCUACGAAGGGCGCUCUAAUGCGAGACUGCCGGUGACAAACCGGAGGAGGUGGGGAUGACGUCCAAGUCCUCAUGGCCCUUAUGGUGGAACUUCCACACGUCAUACAAUGGUCGGGACAGAGGGUCGCCAACCCGCGAGGGGAGCCAAUCCCAGAAACCCGAUCGUGGUCCGGAUCAUAGUCACAACUCGACUGCGUGAAGUCGGAAUCGCUAGUAAUCGCGGAUCAGCAUGUCGCGGUGAAUACGUUCCCGGGUCUUGUACACACCGCCCGUCACACCAUGGGAGUGGGUUUUACCGAAAUCAGUUAGCCUAACCGUAAGGAGGGCGAUUACCACGGUAGGAUUCAUGACUGGGGUGAAGUCGUAAUAAAGGUAA
rnacentral:rRNA from 1 species